rnacentral:rRNA from 1 species
GACGUAGGGCGCGAGCGUUGUCCGGAUUUAUUGGGCGUAAAGAGCUCGUAGGCGGCUUGUUGCGUCGACUGUGAAAACCUGCGGCUCAACCGUGUGGUCUGCAGUCGAUACGGGCAGGCUGGAGUUCGGUAGGGGAGACUGGAAUUCCUGGUGUAGCGGUGAAAUGCGCAGAUAUCAGGAGGAACACCUGAGGUGAAGACGGGUUGCUGGGCUGACACUGACGCUGAGGCGCGAAAGCUAGGGGAGCAAACGGG